AUCCAGCUGACGAGUCCCAAACAGGACGAAAGGCCUGUCCUGGAU
rfam:Schistosoma curassoni strain Dakar, Senegal genome assembly, scaffold: SCTD_scaffold0000730